ACGAAAGGUGCAAGCGUUGUUCGGAUUGACUGGGCGUAAAGCGCAUGUAGGCGGGCUAUUAAGUCAGUUGUGAAAGCCCCGGGCUCAACCUGGGAACUGCAAUUGAAACUGAUAGUCUUGAAUAUCUGAGGGGUUGAUGGAAUUCCAGGUGUAGCAGUGAAAUGCGUAGAUAUCUGGAGGAACACCAGAGGCGAAGGCGGUCAACUGGCAGAAUAUUGACGCUGAGAUGCGAAAGCGUGGGGAGCAAACAGG
rnacentral:rRNA from 1 species